rnacentral:rRNA from 1 species
GAUGAACGCUGACAGAAUGCUUAACGCAUGCAAGUCUACUUGAACUUCGGUUUGGGUGGCGGACGGGUGAGUAACGCGUAAAGAACUUGCCUCACAGAUAGGGACAACAUUUGGAAACGAAUGCUAAUACCUGAUAUUAUGAUUUUAGGGCAUCCUAGAAUUAUGAAAGCUAUAUGCACUGUGAGAGAGCUUUGCGUCCCAUUAGCUAGUUGGAGAGGUAACGGCUCACCAAGGCGAUGAUGGGUAGCCGGCCUGAGAGGGUGAUCGGCCACAAGGGGACUGAGACACGGCCCUUACUCCUACGGGAGGCAGCAGUGGGGAAUAUUGGACAAUGGACCAAGAGUCUGAUCCAGCAAUUCUGUGUGCACGAUGAAGUUUUUCGGAAUGUAAAGUGCUUUCAGUUGGGAAGAAAAAAAUGACGGUACCAACAGAAGAAGUGACGGCUAAAUACGUG